GCACUCACUCCUUUGAGAGCAUGCUUUCACUGGUGCGACUAGAAAUAGCUGCAUCUAAAAAUGGCUAGAAAAAGCGUUUUAAUGUUUAUUUUUUUGAUUAGUUAUAAUGAUGCAUGACGAAAGUAAUGCAGACAAUGUUCUGUUAAUUUUGCUGAAGCAUUAUGGUGCAUUUUGCAGCGGUGACUAGGCCGCUUCAUCGUGGAAACGAGGGCCGGAGAUGAUCUUGCAUCCAUGCAGGGCUCUUCUGGUGCAUGGACAUCCACACGUGGACGGAGAAAGGGUGGCGUGCUCUCAGGCGGAGGCCCUUCAUGACUUUAUGAUGGGAAAUGGGGUUUGGUGUGGAUGAAUCCCUGCAGUGGAAACAUGGGAAAUGGGGUUUGGUGUGGAUGAAUCCCUGCAGUGGAAACAUGGUUAGUAUCUUGAGUCAGCAGAAGGUGGAUUAUGAAUGAUGGUUGAGAGACUGGUUAGACUUCAGAUCCACAAUGACGGAGAAAUGUAACUGACAUAACACACACACAGUUUCUAAUUGAUGGUGUUUCAAUAACCGAGUCUACUGAAAGUGGUUUUUCUUUUGCAGGUUGAUGUCCUAUUGAAUAAAAAAUUAUCAACAAGCACA